rnacentral:rRNA from 1 species
AUUAUGGUUUUCAUCUGUUUAACAAAAACAUUGUUUCUUGUGUUUGAUUGAGAAAUAUUGUCUGCCCACUGAGGAUUUGAAGGGCUGCGGUAUUACUGACCGUACAAAGGUAGCAUAAUAAAUAGUUCUUUGAUUGGGAGCUAGAAUGAAGGGCUUUAUGAAAAAUUGAUUGUCUUAGUUGUAAUAUUAGAAUUUAAUGUUUGGGUAAGAAAGCCUAAGUUAAUUAGUGGGACGAGAAGACCCUAUAGAAUUUCAUUUUAUUAUUUGGGUUAGUUGAUUAUGAUAUGUGGUUAUGUUAUAAAAUUUGAUUGGGGUGAUUGGAAAAUAUUUAACUUUUUUUGUAAUUGAUUAUUAAUAAGUAUUAAUUUGAUCCAUGGAUAUGAGUGAUUAUAAGAUAAAAUUACCUUAGGGAUAACAGCGUUAUUUAUUCGGAUAGUUCAGAUAGAUGAAUGAGAUUGCGACCUCGAUGUUGAAUUAGAAUUAUUCUUGGUGUAGAUGCUAGGGUGAUUUAGUCUGUUCGACUUUAAUAUUUUACAUGAUUUGAGUUCAAACCGGUGUGAGCCAGGUUGGUUUCUAUCUACUUAAUUAUUAAGUAUUUUAGUACGAA